GCAAAAUAUGAGAAAACUUAUGGCCAAUGCUUAGAUUUGUUUACUUCCUUGAGGCGAAGUGGAGUUCUUGUUCACCAGUGGUGGUGAGUCAGUCUCUCCAUGGGUGUGUUUGUUCACAGGAUUCAUACGACUGGGAAUCAAAAUUACCUUUACAACCAUGUUUGCUUAUUCACGCAUGCAUCAAUAAAUCUUCAUCUGCCACUCUCCUUCUCGCACUCUGUAAACUGGUUAAGUUUGGAGCUGUAAUCGAAGGGAAAAACAACACGGUGGUUAUUGAUGGGAAAUUCAGACCUUCUAUCAUCG
rnacentral:misc_RNA from 1 species